UACGUAGGGUGCAAGCGUUAAUCGGAAUUACUGGGCGUAAGCGUGCGCAGGCGGUUUUGUAAGUCUGUCGUGAAAUCCCUGGGCUCAACCUAGGAAUUGCGAUGGAGACUGCAAGGCUAGAAUCUGGCAGAGGGGGGUAGAAUUCCACGUGUAGCAGUGAAAUGCGUAGAGAUGUGGGAGGAACACCGAUGGCGAAGGCAGCCCCCUGGGUCAAGAUUGACGCUCAUGCACGAAAGCGUGGGGAGCAAACAGG
rnacentral:rRNA from 1 species